AAAACCAUCCUAAUGCACCAUGAUUCUUGUUUAUAUGUGCACAAGCAAACUAUCCUAUAUUUCAUGUAAAAGAAAGACAAGCUUUAAUCAGUUACAAGGAAAACCAAUGCAUGGAGAAAAGCUAGAUUAUCAUUUAUAAUGGCAUACAACAUUGAUUUAAAUAUUAGCAUGAAUGACAACUGUCAAAAUCCAGAAAAUGUCUCACUGUCAUUGGAAGUUACUUAAUGCCGCUUCAUUCGUACAUGUACGGACCAACAAUGAAAUACAAAGGUAAAAGGAAG
rnacentral:misc_RNA from 1 species